CAGGGCGCACCUUUCAACUAAGGAACUCCGGGUGGCUGUGUAGAACCAUCCUCACCCUAGAAAGGGGGAAACUGAAAGAAAAAGCAGAACACGCCAUUAACAAGGCCAGAACCCCGACUGCCAUUCCUGGACGGGAGCCACCAACACCCGCAAAAUCGAUCGAUUCAGCCUGGGACGCUUGCUGUUUCCGAACCUCUGUUGCCACCUAUCCCAGUUUGGAGGGAAUUUUCCCAAGGAUGGUGAAGAAGGGAUUUCCACACGCCGCCUCACUCAGCCCCGCACCCCUGGCCACCAGCCAGGACUUAGGGUGUAGCUUCAUGACCACACUGCUGUAGGAAGCCAUAAGUUGGAAAUCAACGGGCCUGGCUUGAAGUGUGGCCUUAGGCAACACCGUUCUCAUCUACAUCUGGAUUCUCCAACAAAGCUGGGAAAAAAACGAUCCAAGGGAAGCCAAUCAAAGAGCCUGGAUUGCCAGUCUUCCCUGCUGCGAUCUCCGCCUGCGAUUCUCCAGGGGAAAUGUCCUUUAUGACCUUACAGCUCACCUGGAACCCUCCACCUAGGGCCCGAGGCAGCACAUCCUCUCGUGCCCGGGCACUUCCAGGCAUUGCCCUGAGUACUGGGCACUUCACACACUGGGCUGGACCACUCACCGGAGUGAAUAAGGAGGCUUGAAGCUGUCCUGGUACAACAAUGGAAUGAAGCGCUAGUCUCAGCUCAGCCACUUGGAAUAUGACUCCAACUCUCACAUUUCUGUGGGGUGUAUUCAUUUCAGCUUUUUGUUUGGUGCUAUGGGGAGGGAAGGGCCCUCAGACUGGCAUCCUUUUUCUUCCAGGAUGAUGAUGAAUAUUAUGAAAGUCUGAGGCUGUUUUUAAAAUUCUGCUCUAAUACGUUGUUUUUCUGUGCAUAAGAAUUAUGUAUUCUUAGCUGCAAAACUGGAAUCCGUCUGCUCAUGGAUAAACUUCUGGCCAUGAGCAUGUACCUUUCAGGUAACUUCCCUAUCAGAGAAGCUUACAAUCAAGAAUCCUACUUCCCUAGUUCCCUACACAGGCCCAGGAGGCUUUUGGUGGUAUCCGCUGGACUUUUGAAAAUUAGGGAAUUUCUCCUACUCUGAACUCUACCAGGAAUCACAUAUCAAGAUCUCAGUACCAUCUUACCUAGACCCUCUUGACCUCUUCUUUCUCCAUAAUCUCUUUCUAGCUCAUGUCAUCCAGACUCGAGGGCCCCAUUCUCAGUUUGACACUGAGGACACCCACGCUAUUAUCUCUGGCUGUGACCUUUCCCACGAGCUCCAAAUUCACACCAUCUUUUGACGUCUCCACUUAACUUCCCCAUUUCGGUGUCUCAAACUUGACAAUUCAAAACAGAACUCCCUCCCACUUCCAAACUGGUUUCCUACCCAACUUUCCCAGGCCCCCAGUUUCUCAAGUCAGAAAUCUAUGAGUCAUCCUUGAUGUUUGCCAUUCCCUCAUCCCUCCCAUCCAACCCAUUCGUAGGCUCUUGGGAAUCUACCUCCAAAAUGUCUCUGGAAUCCAUCCUCUUCUCUCCACCUCCACUGCCAACCGCCUCUCACCUGCAAUAGCUCUGAGGCAGCCUCCCCACUUCUUCUGCCUCCCAUCCCCACCCCUACAUAUUCCUGUCCUAUCUCCACCCAGAAGCAAACAAGAUCUUCUUUAACUGUAAAUUGGUUCACAUCUCCCCUGCUUAGAACUUUCCAAGGCCUUGACAUUAUUCCAAGAUCAAGACCAAACUCUUGACUGUGGCCAGUGAGACCUUUCCUGAACUGGUCCUACCUACCUCUGCAAACCCAUCUAGUGACACCUUUCCCUUAGCUUGCCUCCAACAUAGUGUAUUAGUUUCCUAUGGCUGCUGCAGGAAAUGACACAAAUUAUCCCCUUAUAGUCGUGGAAGCCAGAAGUCCAAAAUGGGCUGGAGCCAAGGCAGGCAGGGCUAUGCUGCUUGCAGAGGUUCUAGGGGAGAAUCUAUUUCUUGGUCUUCUUUGGCUUCUAGAGCUGCAAUCCUUGGCUCAUGGCGCCUUCCUCCACCUUCAGAGCCAGCAGUGUAGCAUCUUACUUGGUGAUCACAUUUCUUUCUUCUCCAGUGUCAUAUUUCCCUUUGCUUUACAUUGUCCUUUAAAUUUCUCUUAUAAGGAAACUGCGAUUGCAUUUAAGACCCACCCAGGUAAUCCAAGAUGAUCUUCCCAUCUCAAGACCCUUAACUGAAUCCCACCUCCAAAGUCCCUUUUGCCAGGUAAGGCAACAUUCCCAGGUCCCGGGGAUUAGGAUCUACAUAUGUUCGGGAGUGACUAUUGAGCCUACCAUGCAUACCACGCUCCUUCCCUCACCAGGGUCUUUGUACCUCUUGUCCCCCAUUACUAGAAUGCUCCCUUCUUCCCUCUCACUCUUUGCUUGGCCAUAUCUUUCUCAUUCUUGGGGACACAGCUUACCUGGCACCUCCUCAGACAACCUGUCUCGGACCAGCCCCUUAACAGCCUGAAGACUUUUUUUUUUUUUUUUUUGAUACGGAGUCUUGCUCUGUUGCCCAGGCUAGAGUGCAGUAGUGUGAUCUCAGCUCACUGCAACCUCUGCCUCCCGGGUUCAAGCAGUUCUCCUGCUUCAACCUCCCAAGUAGCUGGGAUUACAGGCACCUGCUACCAUGCCCGGCUAAUUUUUGUAUUUUUAGUAGAGACAGGGUUUCACCAUGUUGGCCAGGCUGGUCUCGAACUCCCGACCGCAAGUGAUCUGCCCACCUUGGCCUCCCAAAGUGCUGAGAUUACAGGCAUGAGCCACAGUGCCUGGAUGAAGACUUUUUCAUGUCUUUUUCAACUGACUUGUUUUCUGCCUGCCUCUCCCUCCACCCUCACCUAAGCACCUUGAGGACCAUGUCUGUUUUGUCAAUCCACUGGUCAUCCUAAUAUAACUGGUUAAUAAAUCAUUGCUGAAUUUAUUUAUUU
rnacentral:lncRNA from 1 species